rnacentral:rRNA from 1 species
GACGAACGCUGGCGGCGCGCCUAACACAUGCAAGUCGAACGAGCGAGAGAGAGCUUGCUUUCUCAAGCGAGUGGCGAACGGGUGAGUAACGCGUGAGGAACCUGCCUCAAAGAGGGGGACAACAGUUGGAAACGACUGCUAAUACCGCAUAAGCCCACGGGUCGGCAUCGACCAGAGGGAAAAGGAGCAAUCCGCUUUGAGAUGGCCUCGCGUCCGAUUAGCUAGUUGGUGAGGUAAUGGCCCACCAAGGCGACGAUCGGUAGCCGGACUGAGAGGUUGAACGGCCACAUUGGGACUGAGACACGGCCCAGACUCCUACGGGAGGCAGCAGUGGGGAAUAUUGCACAAUGGGGGAAACCCUGAUGCAGCGACGCCGCGUGGAGGAAGAAGGUCUUCGGAUUGUAAACUCCUGUUGUUGAGGAAGAUAAUGACGGUACUCAACAAGGAAGUGACGGCUAACUACGUG